rnacentral:rRNA from 1 species
AGUGAACGCUGGCGGUAGGCCUAACACAUGCAAGUCGAACGGCAGCACAGUAAGAGCUUGCUCUUACGGGUGGCGAGUGGCGGACGGGUGAGGAAUACAUCGGAAUCUACUUUUUCGUGGGGGAUAACGUAGGGAAACUUACGCUAAUACCGCAUACGACCUACGGGUGAAAGCAGGGGAUCUUCGGACCUUGCGCGAUUGAAUGAGCCGAUGUCGGAUUAGCUAGUUGGCGGGGUAAAGGCCCACCAAGGCGACGAUCCGUAGCUGGUCUGAGAGGAUGAUCAGCCACGCUGUACCUGAGACACGGUCCAGACUCCUACGGGAGGCAGCAGUGGGGAAUAUUGGACAAUGGGCGCAAGCCUGAUCCAGCCAUCCCGCGUGGGUGAAGAAGGCCUUCGGGUUGUAAAGCCCUUUUGUUGGGAAAGAAAAGCAGCAGGUUAAUACCCCGCUGUUCUGACGGUACCCAAAGAAUAAGCACCGGCUAACUUCGU